rnacentral:rRNA from 1 species
CCUACGUGGGGCAGCAGUGGGGAAUAUUGCACAAUGGGGGGAACCCUGAUGCAGCGACGCCGCGUGAGUGAAGACGUAUUUCUGUAUUUAAAGCUCUAUCAGCAGGGGAGCAAAUGACGGUACCUGACUAAGAAGCCCCGUCUAACUACGUGCCACCAGCCGCGGUAAUACGUAGGGGGCAAGCGUUAUCCGGAUUUACUGGGUGUAAAGGGAGCGUAGACGGUUAUGCAAGUCUGAAGUGAAAGCCCAAGGCUGAAACAUGGGACUGCCUUGGAAACUGGAAAACUAGAGGGCAGGAGAGGUAAGCGGAAUUCCUAGGGUAGCGGUGAAAUGCGGAGAUAUUAGGAGGAACACCAGUGGCGAAGGCGGCUUACUGGACUGUAACUGACGUUGAGGCUCGAAGGCGUGGGGAGCAAACAGGAUUAGAUACCCUGGUAGUC